rnacentral:lncRNA from 1 species
CCGCGUUCCCCUCGAUUUGCACUGUCACUCGGGCUGUUUGGAAAGAAGAGGGGAGGCGCUGUGCGUGCCUCCAUGUACUUGGAUCUGGGUGCACAAGUGUGUAUGUACGCCCAUGCCGCUGUGUGAGUUGUCAGGGCUUUGAUAACGUCCAGAGCAAGUUCGGGGGUCACCUCCAGAAACUCGCAGAAACUGGAAAGGGGCGAGCGGAGGACACAUGCCUUUCCUCGGAAGGACUUGGAAGACUUUGAGUCUCCCCUCCCCCACUUUUCCGCCCCGGCUCUUCUUUUGUUGUCAAGUCCUUUUGAUAAACGGUGGGGCAGGGAGAGUAGGGAGCCAAGAGCCAGUCUUUACCCGCAUGGGGGGCGGGGGCUGGGCCUGGAGACCUGGUUUCGAGGGGCGCUCGCCCGGAACUGAGCCGCGUACGCCCGCCCGGGGGUCGGGUCUGGAACCUGCCCUCGGCGUGCUCGCUCUCUCUUUCACCACCCCAUUCCCCUCUCCCCCAUUUUUGUCUCUGUCUCCCACUCCGCACAGGUACCGAGAACUUUCUGGGAAUCGACGGGAUUUCUCUGGCUGGUGUUUGAGCUGCCUGUAUCCGAAUAAAUCCAGCUCUCAAGCGUCCGGCAGGAAACGGCUCCGGGUUUGCGCGUACGCAGACGCAUCGGCCAGCGCGGGACGCGUUGUGGCUCCUCCUGUUCGUGCCGCGGCAGGUCCGGCCUCUGAGGGAGGCUAGCCCAGCAGCGCCUUUAGGCCGAACGGCCGCUCGCGGCCCGGCAGUGCCUGGCAGCUCCCAUCUCCGGCGGUAGUCGGCAACCGCUGGGCCAAGUCCGCCCGCGGCGAAAACUGAAAGCAAAUUCCGCGGCAGAUGAAGCCCGAACUUUCUUGGACGCAAGUUUGCAGUAGAGAUUCGGUGGCGGCUUUGGGAGGACAGCGCGCUAGUGUGUGCGCGCGCAAGGUGGGGCGGUGGGCGAAGAGAGCACCCGGCGGCCGAGCCUGGCCCGAGGCGAAACACUAGGGAAGGCGCCUUCCCUUCUUUAUUUCUCGCCAACUCCUCGGCUCCUGUCCGUAAAAAUAGUUUCCAAGGUGCCUCGGACGCCCAGAAUGUGUUUAUGGGGAUCGCACCAGAGAAAGGAAGGCUUUGUAAAAGUUGUAGAAAGAGCUUUGCGCAGCGUUCGCCCAGCGGGGUUCAAGAAAGCUUGGGACUAGCUCGCCUUCCCUGGGGAGGAAUAGCCAGAAAUUGGCCUGGGGAGCCCCCUGCCUAGUCCUGUCCCCUCACCUCCAACCCACGAGUAUAUAAGCUCUCGCUGCCUGCGCUGCAAACUUCUCGGCGCGGCGCCGCGGUCAGCGGGCGAGGACAGGACGCAGAGCGGGCCGGCAAGGCCGCUCCUCGGAGCUCUCAGCCCCAGCCCUGAGUGAGGCUUGCGCGGAGGUGAGAGGACGAGUGUGGUUCCCGCUCCCACUUGGCUGCCGAAACCGUCAUCGCCGACCUCCCAACUCCCGGAGCCGGCGCUUCCCCUGGGAGCGGCGGUCUUGGGGGGCUGGCGAGGGCGCAAAUUGCGCGUGCGAAGCGAAGCGCACGAGGGCGGGGGCGGCCGCGGGUCUCUCCGCGGGGCCUGUCGCCGAGCCGGCCGCGGCGGGUGAGUGAUGAGGGCAGAGAAGGGCGCCCAUAAAUCGUGAGUGUCAGGGCGAAAAACUCUCUUUAUUGUCUGUGUGAUGGAUGGGCCCGGGGACGAGACACCAAAUACUUCGUAUCGCCUUUAAAUGGGAACACAUUUUCCGCGGCCAUAAUUCAUGUUUUUUAAAUAGAAAGUUUGAAAUGUUGCCUAUAUUUCACCGGCCCUGACAUAUUUAUGAAUCGCUCCCUGCAUGCAAAUAUCAUUAUUUAAAGCGCCGGGGAGAGCUGGGGGAGGGGAGGAGGCGCAGCCCCCGGGGCGUGGGGGUGGUGAACCGGGGAAAUGCGGAUGGAAGGGGGGCCAUCUCCCUAAAGUGCGGACGACGAGGCGCGGGGAAGCCGUAUCCGGAAACUGAGCUCACUGGGGGCUCCCCUCCUGCCGCCGGACCCCCGCACCGCAGCUCCGGGAAGUUUGCGCGGCUUGGGGCCGAGGACAGUCCCCCGCCCCCUGCUAGGAGACCAAGGGGCAUUUUGCGUCCUUCUCCGAGGCUCUGAUCCGAGCCUAAACCGCCUUUUCCAAGAAGGAAGUAAAAAAAAAAGAAUUUAACAAACGCAAAUAAUAACAAUCCAAC